rnacentral:rRNA from 1 species
CCCUACGGGACGCAGCAGUGAGGAAUAUUGGUCAAUGGGAGAGAUCCUGAACCAGCCAAGCCGCGUGAGGGAAGACGGCCCUAUGGGUUGUAAACCUCUUUUGUCGGAGAACAAAACCCGGGACGAGUCCCGGACUGCGUGUAUCCGAAGAAAAAGCAUCGGCUAACUCCGUGCCAGCAGCCGCGGUAAUACGGAGGAUGCGAGCGUUAUCCGGAUUUAUUGGGCGUAAGGGAACGCAGGCGGUCUUUUAAGCCUGAUGUGAAAGCCUUCGGCUUAACCGGAGUAGUGCAUUGGAAACUGGGAGG